UACGGGGGGGGCAAGCGUUGUUCGGAAUUACUGGGCGUAAAGGGCUCGUAGGUGGCCAACUAAGUCAGACGUGAAAUCCCUCAGCUUAACUGGGGAACUGCGUCUGAUACUGGAUGGCUUGAGUUUGGGAGAGGGAUGCGGAAUUCCAGGUGUAGCGGUGAAAUGCGUAGAUAUCUGGAGGAACACCGGUGGCGAAGGCGGCAUCCUGGACCAAUACUGACACUGAACAGCGAAAGCCAGGGGAGCAAACGGG
rnacentral:rRNA from 1 species